GACGCACGCUGGCGGCGUGCUAAUACAUGCAAGUCGAGCGAAGUUUUUCUGGUGCUUGCACUAGAAAAACUUAGCGGCGAACGGGUGAGUAACACGUAAAGAACCUGCCUCAUAGACGGGGACAACUAUUGGAAACGAUAGCUAAUACCGGAUAACAGCAUAAAUCGCAUGAUAUAUGUUUAAAAGUUGGUUUCGGCUAACACUAUGAGAUGGCUUUGCGGUGCAUUAGCUAGUUGGUGGGGUAAAGGCCUACCAAGGCGACGAUGCAUAGCCGACCUGAGAGGGUGAUCGGCCACACUGGGACUGAGACACGGCCCAGACUCCUACGGGAGGCAGCAGUAGGGAAUCUUCCGCAAUGGGCGAAAGCCUGACGGAGCAACGCCGCGUGAGUGAAGAAGGAUUUCGGUUCGUAAAGCUCUGUUGUUCGAGGAAGAAUGAUUGUGUAGUAACCUAUACACAGUAGAGACGGUACCUCAACCAGAAAGCCCAGGC
rnacentral:rRNA from 1 species